UUCAUUUAGACAGGGAGGGAAGUUUUGGCGCUGCAGUUUCAUUGCCCUUUUCAAACGAUGUUUGCUCUAGUCCUCUUUUGAAACUCGCUGCCUCCAACCCAGUCUCCAAUGCAAUCGGUCCUUGACCCCAAUAGAUGUUGUGCCCAAUAUCGGAGUGUCCUCUCCGAUCGUCGACGUUGUCCUUGUCGGUGUGUGCUCUCCCAUCGGCAGCCCUUGUUUCUCUUUCUAUUUCUUUAUUCCUCUCUUUCCCUUUUACUUCUCUCUAUUUCACAAUCCCCUUUAAUCGCGGCCGAUUGUUUUGGUUUUUACUUGCUAAUUUUUGGCAGAGGAGGAGUUGUUAUUUAUCAAUUUACCUCCCAAGUUUGGUCACGACAAGUACAAUUCCUAUGUUGAUUUCAAUCUUUGGGACUUGGAGAAGGUUGAUUUGAGAAAAUUUGAUGUCAAUUCGGCUCUCAACAGGGUUUUGGGGUAGCUGAUGAGGGAGAGUGGAGGUUCUGGAAGUAAGCGGAGGAAGCAAGCUGAGUUUGGACUGGGACUGCCAAUUCAAACGGUGUGUGGGAUCGAAAGCUACGAAUCACAAUUAGCAAGGUUGCCUGAAUACUCUUGUUGAUAUACCUGUCUUAUCAUGUCUACCUGCAUUACGAUGAGGGUCACUUUUGUCCCAAACUCAAACGAAGUCUCCCCGAAGUAGAUCCUUGGCUCGCCAUGGAAAAUUGAAGGAGCUCGUUAGUGUUCUCUCGCCGGUUCUCUCUGAGAAAGAAACACGGUCGGUGAGUAUGGCUCUUACCCUCCAUCUCUGCAAAAUUUAGCUGAUCCAAAACUCUUAUUGCAAUACCCACCUCCACAAUUUCCAUCGAACAUCCAUACCUGCUUGCCAUCAGAACACAAAUCAAGCUCUCCCAGAAUCUUUCUCCUCUGUUUCAUGGUCUUCUUGCAUCUUUUCCUUGUCUUCUUCCUUGUCUCUUUCUUUCGAGUUGCCGUCCAUUUCCAGUACUUUGAAGAUUCCACUACCAUAUCUUCUUCCACGUUUAUGAUUGGAUCUCACAUUUCCAGUUCUAUCUCGGCAACAGCAGCAAGUUCUCCACAUCUGGAGCACCUUGGAGAUUCGUAAUGCAUCUGGUUGUCUUGAAUUUGAAGCAGCAUCUGUGAAAUGGGUUUUGAUGGUUCUUCAAGUAGGAAUGUCAACGGGACUAGGUGGGGUUGGUUUAUAAAAUCUCAUUCCGGUCUCCGUAGAGAAUUUUCUAUUCCGUCCCUGUGGUUUUCCCCGUUUCUUUAAAGGUGGGGCGGGGAUGGGGAUUCCCCAAUCGGGGACGGGACGGGGCGGUUUUCCCGGCUUUUUUUCUUUUUUUUAUCAUUCAUAUAAUUUUUUUUUUGAAAAAUUUAUAUAAUUUUUUUUUCAUGAAUAAAAUGUAAAUAAAGUUACUAAAGUGGAAUAAAAAUACAAUAAAAUACAUUGAUGUUGGUGGCUAAAGUUGAGGGUUUAGUGUUGGAACUCGUAAGAAAAGAAGAAAAUAAUGUUUUACAUAAAUAAAACUAAAAUAUAUAUAUAUAUAUAUAUAUCGGGCCGGGUUCAGGGCGGGGUGUUUAUUCCCCAUCCCCGGCCCUUCCCAGCUUCGGGUUUUAAACAUUUGUUCCAAGCUCAUCUUGCAAUCUCGAUUUUUCGGGAAAAAACCGUCCCGUUAGGGGCGGUGCAAUGCGGGGAUCGGAUUGUGCGGGAUAAAUUGCCAUUCCUAUCUUCAAGAACAACUUCUUUAACGGGCUUUGUAGGUGAAGUUUCAUUGGCUGUGAAGCUCAGAAACUGAGUAGCAGCAAUUGGUGAUGACGAGGAUAGAACAUUGAAGAACAUUUAAUUGAUUGUUAUUUAUAAAAUAUUAUGUUAUAAUUUAAUUUUAAUUUAUUUUUAAAAUUAUAAAUUAAUAUAGUUUGUGGGUGUAAUAAAAAAUUAAAUUUCAUAUAUAAAUACAAAUAUAUAAAUCUACAAUUUUAAUUAAAUAUAUUAUUUUUUAUUGUAAUUAUAAAUAGAAUUUUAAAAUUUCUCAUUUUAAAAAAAUUACAAAUUAUAAAAUAGUUCAAUUCAGUCCAAUUUAUAAAAUAGUUCAAUUCAAUCCAAUUUAGAAAAUAGUUCAAUUCAGUCUAAUUCUGCAUCAAACAUGGAACAACUAGUCCAUCAUUCAGUCCGGAAUUAUAUCAAACAUAGAACUGUACUAUUUUAUCCUAUCCGAUCCUGUCCGGAUCUGUUUUGUCCGAUCCAAUCCAAUUCGAACCCAUCCUACGUACCAAACACUACCCAAGUGUAAAAAGUAAAUUCGCUCACCCACCUUUUUUUUCUUUUUAAAUAUAGAUCAGUUAAUGUUUACAUAAACAUAAUCUUUGAUUUUACUGUGAAUAUUAAAUAUUAUAUUUAAAAAAAAAGAAAAAAGAAAAAAACCUUAUCAGUAU